rnacentral:rRNA from 1 species
AAUUUUGGACAAUGGGGGAAACCCUGAUCCAGCCAUCCCGCGUGUAUGAUGAAGGCCUUCGGGUUGUAAAGUACUUUUGGCAGAGAAGAAAAGGUAUCUCCUAAUACGAGAUACUGCUGACGGUAUCUGCAGAAUAAGCACCGGCUAAUUCUGUGCCAGCAGCCGCGGUAAUACAGAGGGUGCAAGCGUUAAUCGGAAUUACUGGGCGUAAAGCGCGCGUAGGUGGUUCGGAAAGAAAGAUGUGAAAUCCCAGGGCUCAACCUUGGAACUGCAUUUUUAACUGCCGGGCUAGAGUAUGUCAGAGGGGGGUAGAAUUCCACGUGUAGCAGUGAAAUGCGUAGAGAUGUGGAGGAAUACCGAUGGCGAAGGCAGCCCCCUGGGAUAAUACUGACGCUCAGACACGAAAGCGUGGGGAGCAAACAG